rnacentral:tRNA from 1 species
GGGGCCGUAGCUCAGUGGAAGAGCGCUCGGCUGAAGACCGAGUUGUCACGAGUUCAAACCUCGUCGGCCCCA